GCAGGGGUACCCUAGUCUGGGCAACGGGGCUGGCCUUAAGAGCCGGUGGCGCAGGCCUCCGCAGGUUCGAAUCCUGCCCCCUGCA
rnacentral:tRNA from 1 species